ensembl:lncRNA
GUAUAAUCCAGUCAUUCAGUAAGGCCAUUGUGUGUUUCGACUCUGCAGAUGUAGGAUGUGCCUACAUCUAUAGAUAGCUAUUGUUUUGGUUAAACCUCUCAAGGGCUGUAAACAUCUUAUCUUUCCAAGCUGAAGUUUGCAGAGAAACUGGUGAGACGUGAGGACUAACCAUGCAUAGGAGGGGGACACAUUGGGCUCUACUGAAUCUAUAAAGGCCUGAGCUCAACGUUCAACAGAGAGCUUUUGACCUGACUCUGCUGAGAGUGUUGUUAACUACUCCAGGUUUAAUAAUCUUGAAUAAAGCUUUUAUUGUGAAAAUAAUUUUCAGUCUCUGUGCCUUUCCCAUUUAGUGAUUUCCACGACAAUUUGGCGACGAGGAUUGGAUGGCUAACUCCGUUCACUGAUCGUUCCCGAGGACUCCAAGGUUCACUGCGCGCAGGGACCACAACAGUGUGAUUCAGGGGGCUCACACACCGUCUAGGCCGGAGCAGAAGGGACCCGCCUCGGACCUGGCAGGAGCGUCAGUGGAUGGAUACGCCAUCCCCAACAUAAAAACUAUAAAAAGACUGAGUUUCUUCUUACAAUACCUCCAUUGGGGGAAAGGUUCUAAAGACCUUUUAAUAAAACCUGUUCGGGGAAAGGUUUCUAAAACCUGUUUAGGCCUGUGGGGCCCCGCGUGGAACAGGCUGUCCACUAAACAGUUUUUGGGAAACUGUAAUUCAUGGAGGAUGAAUAUAAAAUGCAUGUAUAGACGGGAAUUGCAAUGACAUGACAUAGAUGUAUACAUGAAAGAUAACGAAAAACAAAACAAAAAAAAAUAAUAUUCAAAAACCUAAAAUAAACUACAGAAUAAUAAAAACUUAAAUAAUAAUAAAUAAGUGUGAAAAUAGAGAUGUCUCCCUCAUAAAGUAAAAGUUUUUUUGUGUGUGUUAUCAUUUGUUUUGAGUACAAGUGAUAGGGGAUACCAUGAGGACUCGCAGCAGUAAAAACAAAGCCUGCCUUCCGGAUCCACUGAUCGGGCCAGCAAAGAUAAUGGUGGAUAAGGCACAAAGUGUCAGAUUUUCCAUUAAAGGGAACAUUUAGCAAGGUCUAAGUCAAAAGAAUGUAGAAGGAAGUUAGAAGAGUUUGAGUUUGAGUAAGAAAGGAAAGAAAGAUAAAGUAAAGUGGGAUAACUAUGGUAAGUGGGAGAGAGAUGCUGGGAGAAGGAUAGAGAGUGGGAAUAAGAAGAUAACGGUAAAGGAAACUGUGACAGAGGGUGAUGAGAAAGUGAAGAAUAGGAAUAGAGAGGAUGAUACGCGUGACAGUCCACCUCCAAUCCCUGCAGCUCCUGUACCAGCACCGGUCCCUGGCCCCUCUCUAUCUCCAACCCAGGUGCCGCCCUCUACCUGAAGCUGGAAAACCUCACGGUCUCCCCUACAGGGUUUAACCCUCCGUCUGCCUCCACUCCCUCUUCCCACACAGCCAUUUAUUCCUUCUCCUGAACCAGCUCCCAUGACUACCAGGUCUGGACGAUCAGCCGACCCUGACCAGGCAUUCCUUCUGACUCCAUUGGUGGCUUACCCUAACUCACAGCCACGGCCAGCCCAAGGACAAGUUGGCCAUAACGAAUGGAGGCCUGAGGUCAGCAUCCAAAAGACUUGGAGACAGGAUGAACUGAAGGACAUUGCUAAUUAAAUGCCAGAUCCCACCAAGGACUGAGUUUGGGAUACGCAUGAUCAAGUUGGUGCCAUCAGGAGCAGAGAUCACACACAUCAUGCGUUCCAGGAUGAAACUACGCUGGGCAGACAUCCAGGAGGGGCUCAAUGAGAACCUUCUCUGGUCCGCAGAGGGGGCAUACCAAACUCAACUCACUCUUCUCCUGGAGAGAAUAAAGACUGCCUACCCCACAGUGACUGAUUGGGCUGCGAUCCACAGUUGUGUACAGGGUCCUAAAGAAUCCCUGGAAGACUACAGAGACAGGUUGGAGAAGUGUUUCAGGAAAUACAGUGGCCUGACCCUGAGAACUUUAAUAGCCUUAUAAAGGCUGCCCUGGCGCAUGGCCUCCAGCCUGCUUUGAGCAAAACUGUGAAACUCACUUGCAUUGGGUGGGAGACAGUACUUCUACAGACUGUGAUUGAACAUUGUAAACAUGCAGAACGGCAGCAGCAUUGCACUUAUAACAAGGCUAUAUCCAAACAAGGAAAGGAAAUCCCCAAGCUCGAGGCUGCUCAGCUCAUGUAUUAUCAGGGACAAGGUCAGCAAUUCGCAGGAAAUGGGGGAGGAACUGGUGGUUUUCGGAGGAGUGGAAAAUCAUGGUAAAUAUCGUCACUUUUAUAGAGAAUGCCCUGACCCGGAGAGACAAGAAGUUGUGGGUGGCAGAUGGGACCAUCAAACAAUGUCUUCACUGCAGCGCUUGCUCAGAAUUUGGAAGGGUUCGUACCUCCGGCAGGAGGACCACAGUGGGAAGCAGCGGUCAGUGGCGUACUACUCCAAGCAUUUGGAUCUAGUCUCUCGGGCUCUGGUCUGCUGCCUACAGGCAGUUGCCCCAGCUACUGAGGCUGUUCUGGCUUGUGCAGAUAUUGUUGCCAUGUGCCCUUUCACUGUUCAUUGCCUUCAUCAUCGGUAUUGCUGUUUCCGCCAUUAUCUGGACCAUGGAGGCUGGGGGGAACAACAGAGAACCUGGAGGGACCAACAGCAGCAGAAUAGUCCAACAGCAGGACUUAAAUAAUAGGUGGGCUCAAUACUUGAGUCUAGCAAAUAACUGCCGCCCCAGCCGUUACAGGAGGACCGCCGAACUGCAUGAUUGGGCAACAGCCCAUGGGGAACGCCAUCAUGAGAAUGGCUGGUGGUUGCUGAUGAACCACACUAUGAGACGGGUCUUGAGGCACACCAGCCCCUGUUAUGCCUGUGCACUCAUGCCCCAUUUGGCUGGGGGUUCACAACCCUUCUACCCUGAACCACUUGUCACCACUAGUAUGUUACUGGGCCUACAUCCAUGACGUACAACAGACAAAUUGUCUAGAAGAAAUUGCAGGUUGCUCUUGUCUUACAACUACGCAGCCUGGUGUGACAGAAUCAUUAGCACACCCCUUGACUCUAAACCUGACCCGAUUCCCUUGGUGCCACGAAUUACCCCUUUCUCUGCUACCUGUUAUUGCAGAGAAGAUAACAAAGGAACAUUUAUGGGACUAUGGACAGGUACUGAUUCUGCUUAUUAUUACUGUAAGUCUAAAAGCAGUGUAAGCAUGCGCGGUAUGAUGAAUCCUGGUGAAUUUUGUAGGAGUCUGUUCUUCCCUGCGUUUGGUACCCGAUGUUAACCGCAUCUCACAGCUCACACUUCUCCCACUUAAACCCCCCUACUUUGUACACAUCCAGGCCCGCAUAGGUGUGUUGGCCCCAAAUGUCACCGGGGCUGGCGCCUAUACAGACCACUGUUGGGCUUGUGGGGAUAAUGCUUGUGUCUACCUGCCCUGGGGAUGGACUGGGUGUUGUGUUUUUGUUACUUUGAACACCACAAUAAAAAUGUUUCCUAUUUCACAUAAUGUAUACCAUCGGGUCCGCCGAAGUGCAAUAGGCUCCCAUAGUGGUAUUCCAUUAGAUGCCAGGCGCACCAAUAGCUGGGAGAAGUUCUGGCGUGGGUUAAUUCCUUGGUACGGGGCUGUUGAGAAUGCCCAUGAGAUUGAUAGAAUAGGUUAUGAAUUAGAAACGCAUGCUAAUAUCACUACAGAGGGUUUUAUGAUAAUGAGGCCUGAGCUGAGAGGCGUGUUAUGGUGUUGCAAAAUCAUAUGAUCUUAGACAUGAUGUUAGCAGAACAGGGUGGGAUAUGUCAUCUGGUUGGCCAGCACUGUUGUACCUAUAUCCCAGGGGGUGAUCAAAACCUUACAUAGGUUGUUCAGCACUUAGAUUCUCUUCGGCAGCAGUUGACUAGUGAACAGCGGACCAGUGACGAUGGGGUCCAUUUGGCUGGCUGGAAUCAUGUGUGGGUGUAUGGGGCAGCAGGAUUUUUCAUUGGGCCAUUUACGGUUUGGUUGUCUUAGGUGCUAUGUUGUUUGCAGUCAUGUGUGUUAAGAAGAUGUGUGCCAAAGCUGUGGGGGUUGUGUUCAAUAUGCCAUUACUUGCCCGACUUGAUUCUGAUUCUUCUGGUUUUGAUUCAGAUGGUGAUUAUGAAGAGACCAUUAUUAGUUUCCCUAAUAUCUAUCCCGAUGUAGAGUAGCAGGAUGCUAUUUCCUGUGGUUGUUUAUGUUUUUCUUGGCCUUGUUCACAAUUCUCCCACUUACCCUCACUGACACUGACCUAGACAACAGGCACAUGAAUGUUAUGCUUUUGAACAGGGGAUCAAUGUGAAGGACAUGGAUGGCAACUGUAACGGAACCAAGUAAACAUGACUAUUUUUAUAAUCAUUGCUUGCUGAAAUUAUUUUUGUGACUGUAACAUGAAUAAUAAUAAAGUAUUUGUAUCAUUCCUUAGGAUAUGGGAAGAAAGGUUUAUGCAUUAUUAAAAGUUUGUUUUGCAUCUUAUCAAUAAUAAUUUAGUGAUGAUUAAUGGUAGGAGAUUUAUUUUUUGGAUAAUAAUCUGUUGCUUUUGCUGGAAUGUAUGAUGUACUUUCUACUGAUUUGUUUUUCAUUGAGACAGUCUCAAAAGGAGGGAUUGUGGUAGAAAUGUUCUCAUUCUAUAGUAAAUUAAUAUUCAUAUUGCUUAUUCUAAGUACAAUCCAAUCAUUUAGUAAGGCCAUUAUGUGUUUUUCGACUCUGCUCACUUGUACAGGAUGUGCCUACAACUAUAGACAGCUAUAGUUCUGGUUAAACAGGUUUCUAAAUCUUGAAUAAACCUGUGAAAAGAAGCUACAGUCUCUGUGCCUUUCCCGUUUAGUGAUUUCCAUGACAGCACCCUGGUUGGACCGGUCGCCGUGGCCGGUGACGAUCCGGCAGCAGACACGCUUCUACGGUGCACUUCGGGGUUGGUCAGCUGGUAAUACAAAGUGGAACAUGAACCCCCCCGCAAACAUAUAACCACUUGACCAGACAGAAAUGAGCUUAGUGCACUCCCAGAACCCCCUCUCUUAUCUUACAUAUGACCUCCCCACUUGCUGCCGGUCUUCGUCGCUAAACAACAACGAGCGACACCCUCCCCCCCGUUAAGACGAGUGCAAUGGGCGGAGCCCCUGGUCAAUGCAAUCGCGUAACUGUUUGAAUGCCCUUGUUUCACACGGGUUCCCAUUCUCCCUGUCGUGCUCCUGGUUCUCUGCUUAUAUAGUCCUCGAGUCCCAAACAGAGCCCCUCAAUUAUCCCCAGGUCUUAUCUCAUCUCAUCUUCAUCCGGUGUUAGGUCGCUGGGGCAGCAGCUCCAGCAGGGGACCCCAAACUUCCCUUUCCCGAGCCACAUUUGACAGCUCUGACUGGGGGAUCCCGAGGCGUUCCCAGGCCAGUGUCGAAAUAUAAUCUCUCCACCUAGUCCUGGGCCUACCCUGAGGUCUCCUCCCAGCUGGACGUUCCUGGAACACCUCUUUAGGGAGACGUCCUGGGGGCAUCCUUACCAGAUGCGGUCAUUGUUUUCAUUAUAGUAGGCUACUGUAUAGGUAUUAGCUAGCCGUCAACAGUAAAUAAUUUCAAAUUUCACAAGUUGAAUGACAUUCCAAACAGGUUUUGGAUUAAUACAGCAACAGAUUAUUGGCAACUUUCCACAACAGCUGGCAUUGGCCCCUCCCUUGUUCAUCACAAUAAUUUGCCCGCAGCCCAUCCAAACUAGGCAUCCCUAGUUUUUCUUUCUUGUUUAAGCAUUAAUUAGCAAUAUCUAAUUGUCCAUGGUGGUGGUUAUUGUUGAUAGUAGAAACUGUACCACCACUUUGUUUCUCUGAUGGCGGUAGCUCAUUUGUCAUCUUUUAUGGAAAUCUGAGAGUGCAUUAUGUUUUAUGCAUUAUGGGUGAAGAAAUUUCUCAUGGCCUUUUCUCUGUUUCAAUCUUUUGUUAAUAAUGACAUUCAGCUGAGUACUCCAAAACAUUUCAUUGCUGACAUAUUAAUGAAAACAAUGCUGCUGCCUCAGAAGUGAAACAUUUGAAAAGCAAGUCUGUUGCAUAAGAAUCCUCCCCCCGGCAAAGUCUUCAAAACACUGGCAUGCCCUUAAAACACUGGAAUGACCAGUGUCAGAGUGGGUCAGCAACAAAUUAUGUUCUGUUGUGUUGUGGAAAUUUCUAUAUACAAUGUAUUCUCUCUGAGUAAAGGAUUGAGUCCCACUGUUAAGAUAGGUACAGGAAUGUGUGGGACCUGGUAUUUGCAUAGGGGGCAUCUAUUGUCUGUCCAGAUGGAGAUCAAUGGGUUUUAGGACAGGAUAGGAGAAGAUACAACAGGGGGCAGUAAGGUCAGUUGGCCCCUUUGGGUAAACACUACAGAAAACAUUAUGGCAGGAAGGAUAAGGUGGGGGAAGAUAGCAUUUGACGUGUGUGAUAGAACAAAGGGAAAGGUGUUUGAUUGACAUGAAACAGAUGGCAGCAUCUUACCACACCCCUUUUUCCUAUGUAAUAAAUACUGUCGAAAUGAUGUUUUUAUUUAGAAACUAUCCACCAUUACUUUGUAACCUGUAUACUUUCUCCUUGCAAGCAAGAUUAAAACCGUUUAUUGCGCAAUUGAUUUCUCCUGUCUUACCUACCAUUUUCAUAGAACUUUGGAUUUU